rnacentral:rRNA from 1 species
CGAGAACGCUGGCGGCAGGCCUAACACAUGCAAGUCGAACGGGAUCUUCGGAUCUAGUGGCGGACGGGUGAGUAACGCGUGGGAAUAUGCCCUUUGGUACGGAAUAGCCUCGGGAAACUGAGAGUAAUACCGUAUGUGUCCUCUGAUCGUGGUGAUCGGAGGAGAAAGAUUUAUCGCCAAAGGAUUAGCCCGCGUUGGAUUAGAUAGUUGGUGGGGUAAUGGCCUACCAAGUCUACGAUCCAUAGCUGGUUUGAGAGGAUGAUCAGCCACACUGGGACUGAGACACGGCCCAGACUCCUACGGGAGGCAGCAGUGGGGAAUCUUAGACAAUGGGGGAAACCCUGAUCUAGCCAUGCCGCGUGAUCGAUGAAGGCCUUAGGGUUGUAAAGAUCUUUCAGUUGGGAAGAUAAUGACGGUACCAACAGAAGAAGCCCCGGCUAACUCCGUGCCAGCAGCCGCGGUAAUACGGAGGGGGCUAGCGUUAUUCGGAAUUACUGGGCGUAAAGCGCACGUAGGCGGACUUGGAAAGUUAGAGGUGAAAUCCCAGGGCUCAACCUUG